AUUGAACGCUGGCGGCAGGCCUAACACAUGCAAGUCGAGCGGAGCGGCGGACGGGUGCGUAAUGCCUAGGAAUCGGCAUGGGAGUGGGGGAGAACGUCAGGAAACGGGAGCUAAUACCGCAUACUCUCAGAUGAGCAUAGGCCGGAUUAGCUAGUGGGAGGGGUAAAGGCCUACCAAGGCGACGAUCCGUAACUGGUCUGAGAGGAUGAUCAUUCACACUGGAACUGAGACACGGGCCAGACUCCUACGGGAGGCAGCAGUUGGGAAUAUUGGACAAUGGGCGAAAGCCUGAUCCAGCCAUUCCGCGUGUGUGAAGAAGGUCUUCGGAUUGUAAAGCACUUUAAGUUGGGAGGCGUUACCAGCAGAAUAAGCACCGGCUAACUUCGUGCCAGCAGCCGCGGUAAUUC
rnacentral:rRNA from 1 species